rnacentral:rRNA from 1 species
GACAGAGGGUGCAAACGUUGUUCGGAAUUACUGGGCGUAAAGGGCGCGUAGGCGGCCUUCUAAGUCGAACGUGAAAUCCCCGGGCUCAACCCGGGAACUGCGUCCGAUACUGGAAGGCUUGAAUCCGGGAGAGGGAUGUGGAAUUCCAGGUGUAGCGGUGAAAUGCGUAGAUAUCUGGAGGAACACCGGUGGCGAAGGCGACGUCCUGGACCGGUAUUGACGCUGAGGCGCGAAAGCCAGGGGAGCAAACGGG